UUUUCCAACGAGGACACAAGAUUGUACUGUGAUAUCAACGGUAGAGCUCUUACAACCUUAUUCGAUACAAUUACUUAAUUUAUCUCUUACGACAAUUUCUGAACUUACGUAACUCAUUAUUUCAAACGCGAUUCGAUCUUUCGUUAUUUUUACUAUUGUUUUUUUUUUUUUUUACUACUACACCUUCGUUCUGAAAAUUAAUUACAACGUAUACCGUUGGUACAAUAUUAAGAGCGUAACAUUAUCGAAAAUUUUUUUUGUUUCGUCAUCGAUGGCCUCAUUGACAGUAUGCGCGUUAAACAAAUUUAUUCAACUUAUUUCUGCGCGAUAAUUUUUUUAUGCAGAAGAAUAAAAGACUUUUAUCGUCCCGAUGAAUACGUCAGUCAGUUACGAAGAGUAUCGAACGUGUUAUUCACGAAACCUCACGAGCAGAUAAGCAAUCGAUCAUUGCCGAAAAUGAGGGACACGAGCCGGUUUGUCAAUAUCGGCGCGUUACGCUAUUUGCGGCAGGCACAGACGCGAAACAUCAUCGAGAGAAGCACGUGUGGAAUAUAAUCUGCCCGGAGGAACGCAAUCGAUGGUCGACGUAUAGCUACGUGCGGGCUCCGAUUCGAUGGUCUCGCGAUGAUUUCUUAUCGUUGCACGUUCGAGAUACACGCACGUUCGUAGCACGUUUUCACAAUCAGUGGCAUUGAGAAUGGCCUGGCAGCAGGAUGUAACAAUUAUAUCGCAGUUGGAUCGAAGGAAAACGUGUCCUCGAAAUGUGGAAAUUUAGUCGAACACCGGACGACAAGUUUUCUCCCAUCAGCUACUUUCUACGAUCUCGCCGACGCAAUUUAAUUUAAAGUUGUUACGGUUAACGUUAAACUUAUUUCAAGAAACGAUAGAAAGUGAAAGAUAGGGACAUUUGGUGAGAAACGUCGUCUCCCCGUGUGUUUAAUGUCUCGUCGAUGUAGCAGUGCGGAGGAGACGAAAGAAAAUUAAAGAUUUUUAAUUUCUGUAAAAAUUAUUCGCGUGUGCCUAUUUUGUGAUUCGGCGUGAAAGAUUUCGCUACGAUGAACUAUCCUACUCUGGGUGAAUAAAAUCAGUGGAAGAAAUUUCGUUGUUCGCUACGUGGAAACGGAAGAUCAAAUUUCAUUGGGAAAACCGAUUUGGAGAGUACUUGAAGAUAUUUGCUAAGCUGGAGAACCAACGAGAACCAACCUCCUCGUCCACGU